rnacentral:lncRNA from 1 species
UUCGUGAUUCGUGCUAGCGUGAUCUGGAAACGAGACAUCUAGCGAGAAAAACUCACUUUAGCGAAGAACGCUUUGUCACACAUUUAGGAUUUAGAAAUUGUCAGCAACCUGCGUUAGCAAGACCCAAGGGGCUGUUUUUAGUCUUUAUCUGUGCUCUCACAAAGUAACUUAAGUAAGAACUCAGAAAGACAAAAAUCAUUCGGGUAAUUUACUGAAUUUCGUAAAAGGGCAACAGCGCUUUCCAGUUGUCACGAAAGUUCGUCUGCAUUCUGCAGUAUGAAAAACAAGGUGGACAUAUUUUUACCAAAGUGAGGCUGAGGCUACAGGUGUCCCUAAACCCCCUAACGUGAUUGAAAACUUGAAACAAAGCCACGAUACGUAUAGAAUUUAUUCCGUGACAAAGUAGUCAAAUCAAGAAUGUUUGAAACAGCCCAUGUGCCCAGAUCACAUCAAUUGAUGCAUGAAGGCAUGGAGUGUUUCACCUGCAUCAGAUUUUUCAAUGUACUUGCUAAACCAAAAUGAGUGCUGCAAGAAAAUUUUGUUCUGUGUGUUUUUAUUAGACUGAAACCACUCCAACACUUUGCUACAAUGCAACAGCCUCAAGUCUAAGCUUUUCUAGUACAGUGUGCUGUUGAAGUUACCUCUUCUCGUGAAGUAUUCCAGCGAUGUAGAACAAGUAAGUGAACAUAAACAUUCAGUUACAGCAACAUCUACCUACGUGAACUGCCAGACACAAAGUUUGCCUUAACUAAAGGAAUUCUACAUGGGAACUGGCAUGGAUUACAGUUCCACAUCAGGCAACAAAGUAUCAGUGUUGAAGGAAAGCCAGUGAUAAGAACGUCUGAAAAGAAGUGCGGAAUCGACGAAUGGUCACCCAGAUUUUGCUUUUACGUGUUCAAGGAUCAACGGAGAAGAAAGUUGAGAAUCAUAUUUGUUAAUCUUCAUUCAACAUCUUCUAUGCAGCCAAUCUCUUACAACGUGAAAAACAAGAUUAUUGAACUCUGGAAUCUUUAGGUCACGACCGACAGCGCGAAUGCAGGUUCAUUUCAAAACGCAUCUUUGCCGAAAAAACUGAAAUCCUGGAAGAAAUUGGCUUUGGUAAUGAAACUCUUGCCAAGGAGGAAAAUAAUACGUGACAAUACUCGAGCCCCCAUCAAAUGAACUGUUGCUAUGGUUUUGGCCAAGACGGAAUUUGAAAAGCCCCUUUAACACCACAAGCUGUACUAUCUGAGGUAGGUGACUACCACGAUAUAGUUGGCAAACGAGUAUAAGGCAAAGCAUUUCAAUUAAGAACAUAUCCUGCGCAACGAUGGAAAUCUUUGUGAAACGUCCUCUUUCUACGAGACAAAAACCGGAAAGCUAAUCCCCCUACUAGAGUCCCACUUCUUGCUCUGGUAUCCUCAGAUGAGGUUACGUCACGUCUAGAUGGCUGUAAUGGUAUUACAUAAUUAGAUCCUCGACAAAUUUUUCAGCCGUUCCGUCCAGUCGUUCGUGGAUGAAAGGGAAUCUGUUGGUUUUCCUAGAUGGUUAAAAUUAUGGCCGAGUGUUUUCUUUAGAGACAAUUUCCGCCAUUUUUUUUUAGACAUUGAAUGAAAAUGUAUCGUGUUUGUCCAACAAAGGAUCAUCUCUUGACAUGGAAAGAAGAACAAUUGAUGCAAGAUCGUGAUUUGGUUAUCUAUUCGCUGUUAAUUAUUACUCCAGAGAUUGCAGCUCUCAUCAGUUCCAUGGGACCAUAACGCUGCCACUCCAGAGGUUGCCCUAAAGUGGCCAUCACAACUAGUUCUAAUUUAAGACCAAGAUAUUUGAUUUGAGGUUUUCGUCGCCGAUCCAAAGACCCGUUGGUGAAACUGAGGAGAGAAUGCUGAAAUUCAAGUCUGAUCAAAAAAUUAUGUAGAUGUAGAUAAAUGACAAGUGCAUAUCUGGGCUCCCUUCUUUUCUGUGGCCCCGUUUCCCUAACUAACCACUAACCAACGCCCGCCGGUGGUCACUCACCCGCUGUGA